CAGAGGAGAGGCUCCGCUCGGCCCGGGGAGGCACAGAGGCCCGCAGCUCGGGCGCUGACCCGGCCUCCGGGGGGCGUCUCCUCCGGGGCCAGGCGGAGGACCCCCCGAGAGCUUCGCCGUAACCGAUGGCUUAAAACAACAAGCCGGUCCUCCCCGCACAGCCCUGGUUCCGCAGGGAGACUCCAUGGGGUCUGACUUGCCAUUGCUCCUGCAUCCGGCCCCGGCCUCUCCCCGGGGUUUCCUGCCGCGCGGUUGGAUGCUGCGAGAACCAGACUGGCCACUCUGAAGUGCUGGAACAAGCCCAGGGAUUCCUGAGGCUGCUCUGAGUCCAUCCCUGGUCUUGGUCAGAGUCUUUUCCCCUCCUUUUUCUGGACCCUUCCAGAUGGUGAAAUACUGAAUGAAAGCGGAAAGGGCUGUGAGACUGUAAAGAGAGCCCUGAACAAGGAGUCAGUGUACCAGACUUUUAGUGCGAGGAGGACAGCUGUGGUGCGGGUCUGCAGAGAUGCUCUGGGAACAGCUGGUCUGGAAAGUGGCAUCACUCUGAUUUUUCCACUGAGACAAGGGGAGAGGGGCUGAUACUCACACUCAGUCUGGAAGGACUGGAAGGUUUCAGCCAGGAGAAGAGGAAGAAGGACAUCACUGACCGGGACAGCAUCACGUCCAAAAGCUGUCCUGAGGCCUUUCUGAAAAUAGUUCCUGCAGGGGAGAACAGAGGGCGUGGGAGGCUGUGACUGAGAGGAGGGUGUGGUUUGGACUCUGAUCUUCUGUGUCUCUUGAGGGGAUUUGGACUUCAUCCUGCCGAGCCUGAUGGGUUACUAUGACUGGCUCGGGUUACCAGCUCUUAACACGAGGGUGCAGGAGUCAUAGACUAUUCUACAGCAAGAAAUGUGUAUCUGUCUGGUGGUUGUGGGCAUUGGCGUCAUCAGACAGAUACAGUUUCUUCCUUUUCCUAGCUAUAAACUUAAAAAAAUAUAUUUAACCUCACUAAGCCUCAGUUUUCUCAUCAGUGAAAUGGGGAUUAUGGUAUGUGCUAUGAGAAUUAAAUGAAAUUAUGUAGGUCAAACCCUUUGCCUUUCUUCUGACAGUGACAAGUAGCUACUGUUAUCCUUACAAGUACUUUAUUGUGUAUGUGCAGGGCUACCAUGGAGUAACAAGGAACUAACUCCCUUCUGAUGCCUUCCCUUCUUCCCAUUAUGCUUGUUUGGCUUUUGACUGUUUAGAGGUCUUCUGCUUUUUUCCUCCUUCUCGACAUCACUUCCUUCCUUUAUGUCCCGGUUUUAUGACUUUAAUGUCAGUUUCAUCUUAACUCGCUUUCCUGUUCAGUUUGUUUGUUUCCCGGUCCAACCAGGGUCAGACCAUCUCCAAAUCCCCAGCCACGGCAUCGUGCUCUGUGAGCGCCACACAGUAGCGCAUAGCGUGUCCACCGGCCCCAUCACCUGCAUGCCCCGCGGCCGUGGCGCGCUGCCCAGCCCCCCGGACGCCUUCAACGCAGCCCAGGCCAGCCCCCCGCCCACUCCACAGUCCUUCCCACCCCUCAGAACCCAC